GGUUUUUUAACAUUUUCCUGAGAAGAGGCAUAUGCCAUUUUGUUUAACUAAAUUAAAUUACUGUUUUAAAUAAACGAAGUAACGAGGCCAGAGCCCAGUCUAGGCUGAGCUUACUGCGCAGACCUUAGAUUCUUAUGCUUCCAUCCUAUCGGGACUUUCGGGCCAUGACGCCACAGUUUAUCGUGCACACACAGCUGAGCACGCUUUGUUCAACUUCCUGACUUCAACUGGCUGCGGCUGCGUCCACCAGUCGCAGUAUAUGAAACCCCGUCCGGAAUUCCAUAUAUCGAGUGCCAGAGCUAAACCUGCAAGGUUAUUAGGCGAUGAGAUAUACGCGAAUGUCCACUCGAAAACACAAGCCAGCCCACUCACACGCAUGCCUCAAUUAAAUUCAUAUAAGGUAAAGGCCUGGUCUACAUUAUACAUCAUGUAUAAUCAUUCAUCUUCUUCCUAGCUAGCGCUGUACUAUGAGCAUGUGGAAACCUCACUUUCAAUUCAGAUGCGGUAAAGUUUUCCAUUUUCUCAACUUCGCUCACUGUCUUCGAAGAUCCGAAAAAAAAACAUUGAGAGAUUAUAUUGUGGUGCUGAUAGUGAUCAGCCCAGCCUUAAAGGUACCAAGCCUAUGGAGAGUUUUGCACCUCACGGCCAUUCUAUUGCAGCCCCCGAGCCCAAGAUGAAAUGUGCAAUUUCUAUAUGAUGUACUGGACAAAGAGCAAGCCGGUUGGAAGGAGCCUUUGCAUUACGCUGGGGCCGCCGUACUAUUCGUGGAAGAGCAACGAAAUGGGUAUGCGCCAGUUUUCCAACGUGCCGUCCAUAUCGGCAGCCUCGGAGAUCACGACCGAAGAGAUCCGUGCCUACUUUGGCACACCGUGAACAAUCGUCCCCAAGCGCCACUGCCGACGACGAGAUGUGCAAUUUCUACAUGAUGUACUGGACCGAGCAGUCGCUGCUUUCCAAGGCCUACUGCUUCAGCUGGGGGCCGCCGCUCUCGUACUGGCACCGUGUGCCCAUGGGCUUCUGGAAACUGUUCUCCUUCCCGUGGCUGACCGGGAUCCCCGAGGACAAACGCGCCUCAGAGAUCGACAAAAAUGAACUGCGCUCCUACUUUUUCGCCAAAAUGCGAAACACGUAACUUACUCAGCCUGAAACAGGAAUUACGUCACUCUCAGGAUCAGGAUAAGAGUCAUUUGAUAAUCACAGAAAAACACGGCAGACAAGGCGUAGUUUAAACAUUAAAAAAUGCGAAAAAUGCGAAUAAAAAAAUGCGAAACAUUAAACGCUUAGCAAGCUAUGAUGCAUUUUCUGUGAAAAUGAUAUCCAUGCACGCUUCAUUCACACUGUUAUGAUUUUUAAUGUUUUUACUUUGGUUACCUAUGCCGCGACUAUGCUGAGUUGUUACAGUUUUGUUACAUAAUUGUUUUGUUGAGGUUUCUGCAUGUUUUUUUGUGUUUAGUAUGCGAGUGUUUAAUGCCUAUAUAUUUUAUAUAUUUUCUAACGUAUUACUCCUUUUGUGUUCUGUCAAAUAACGAGUGAAACUCCUGAUCACGUUUGUAACGACCAUUCAGUGACGCGGACAUUGAGUCAUUGAGUCUGAUAACUGACGCGCACGGGGCGGCGCCCGUUAUUUGUUAGCCGCCCAUGUUGCCGUCCAUUGUCAGCCUCUCCUGUUUGCUGGCUUACAUUGUUAACCACCCGAGUUGUUGCCCCGUUAACGUUGGCCGCCCCUGAUGCUUCCUUUAAACGGAGGCAGUAUUGUUACGGUUAGCUGUAAAGGUACCCCUUCCGCCGUUAUGUAGUUGUAGUCGUUCCUGUUAUCGCUUGGAUAUGGUGCAGGAUUUAUUAGUUUGGCAUGCUGUCUGGUUAUUUUGUGAAAAUAAAUUUCAAUGUUCGUAGGGACACAUGUUGACA